AACGAAUUUUAUUCGGGUUAAAGCGGUUGCUAGACAAACUGUAAAAUUGCCGGUGUCGACAAGAGAAGGCUCACGUGUCUGACAUGGGGACACACGAGGCUGGGUUCGAAUCCCAGGGAGCUGUUUAGAUGCACCUCGAGAUGUGAAUCACGAGGGAAGGGCUGAGAGUCAAACCAAUGACUUUGCGAGGCCGUGUAAAGGUUUGCACUCAGGACGUUAAAUGGGUUUAGCGGAGCAUUAGUCUAAA
rnacentral:misc_RNA from 1 species